UUCAACUGCGCUGGAAUAUCGGACUAUUCUCAUGAGCAAAUACAAGUUUAAUUAACUAAUAAUUAAUUAAAUUCAGGAAAUUUGGCGCAGCAACAAAUACACAAAAUGUGUCUCUGUUUUUCCGCGUUACUUUGGUCGGUCUAGAUUAUUUUUGUUUAUCAGAAAAACAAAAUAAAUCACGCAGGUGCGCUAACUAGUUAGGCUAACUAGCUUAUUACUAGCUUACCGGUAUGUCCUCUGUGCCACUGUACCCUUACUUUAGCCCUGCUCUGUGGCUGGAGGUGUUUCCUGUAAAUUAAGAUCACAGACUGGCUAACCUGCAGUGAGAUGCAUUUACUGACCCAGUUACAGUGCGACUGACGAAUGCUUGCUGGGAGACCCAACCAACUCUCUCAUGACCUGAUCAAAACCCUCUGCAGCAGCACAUGUUGUUUAAAGAAAGAUCAUCAACAUUCAGGUUGUGUGAGAUGAGCACAAUGAAGCAGACCACUCCGUUCCCCACCAUGCACACGAGGAAGAUGAGCAGAUAGGACACGAUGAAGAUGGCAGCUGUCGAUGGCUGAUGCAGGAAGAGGAGGAGAAGACUGCAUCACUUGAAGAGGACAACAAAAGUACUUAAAUGUUCUUAAAGAUGUUUGCAGAUGUGUUAGACUUAAUUAAACUUGUCCUCAUAUGUGCUCAUCACUACAUUUAAUGUGGUGUGAGAGAAUUAAAUUGUUUCCAAGUGAUCAAACAUCUGUUUUGC